AUCUACGGGCAUGCCUCCCUGAAGCAGGGUUGGGCCUGGUUAGUACUUGGAUGGGAGACCACCUAGGAAGACCAGGUGCUGUAGGUG
rnacentral:rRNA from 1 species